ensembl:lncRNA
GGCUCUCCCGGUCAGCCAGGAAUGCCUGGAAAAGAUGGAAUGAAAGGAGAAAAGGGUGAUGCAGGUGGAGCACCGGGACCGAUAGGCCCCCCGGGCCUCAAGGGUGAACCUGGUGAGCCCUGCUCUGUCGGAAUUUGCAAUGGGGAGGAGGUUGUGUCUGGUCUUCGGGGGUUGCGGGGCCCUAAGGGUGAACGAGGUGUUCCUGGAGUACCUGGAGAUGCUGGAGAGAAAGGAGAACCUGGGAUUGGAAUCACUGGACCCCCUGGUCUGAUGGGAACUAAAGGCGAACCAGGAAUUCAGGGUCCUCGUGGACCUGCAGGACCAGUUGUAGUGCAAGGUAUUAUGGUGAGAAAUGCUUUUAUUACUUUAAAUCCUAAAAUUUGGAACAAGAUGAAAAUAUCAAAAUAUUUAUAUGUAAGAAUUAUUUUAUAUAAAGAAUACUUAAAUACCUUGAAUAUUCUUAUAUUCAUAUAUGUUUUUGUGUAUUAAUCUGAAAGGGACCUCCAGGCCCACAAGGCAGACCAGGACCCCCUGGACCCCCUGGAGAACCGGUUCGUAACAUUUUUUUUUUUUUUUUUUUUUUUACUAACAUGCUGAUAUUGCCUUUUUCUGGACAUUCCUAGAAACAUUAAGUUAAUAUCCAGGUACACACAAUAUGUUUGUUUUUGAUCUGCUAAUGAAAAUAGUCGAAUUACAAUACUGACACAGCACUCCAUGGGGAAUAAAAUUAAUAUUUGUUUGUACUGCGUCUCAUUUUCUAAUGUUGUAUCUAAUGCUGCUCAAAAUCAUGUUCUUUUUCAGACAGCACUACCUAUUGUUGGAGACAUGGGGACAUUAUUGAAGAACGCCUGCAGUGUGUGUCAGACCAGAGUACCAGGAUUGCCAGGGCAGAAAGGAGAAAAAGGUUCCCUUGGAACUCCAGGUAUCCCAGGAAUGGAUGGAGAAAAGGGGGAUCAGGGUCUUCGGGGCCCAGCUGGUAAUCCUGGAAAAGAGGGUCCGAAGGUAAGCCGCCCUAAAUCAGAGAUUAGAGAAGAGAAUCGUGUGAUUGGCAGACAUAUGAGCUUUAGCUAUAAUUCUGGAAGUGCAUUUCCUCUGUUACAACAAGGCAUUGCAGGGCAAAUAUAUUACACAUGGUGCAACAGUAGCAAAUAA